rnacentral:rRNA from 1 species
GCACAAUGGGCGAAAGCCUGAUGCAGCAACGCCGCGUGAGCGAUGAAGGCCUUCGGGUCGUAAAGCUCUGUCCUCAAGGAAGAUAAUGACGGUACUUGAGGAGGAAGCCCCGGCUAACUACGUGCCAGCAGCCGCGGUAAUACGUAGGGGGCUAGCGUUAUCCGGAAUUACUGGGCGUAAAGGGUGCGUAGGUGGUUUCUUAAGUCAGAGGUGAAAGGCUACGGCUCAACCGUAGUAAGCCUUUGAAACUGGGAAACUUGAGUGCAGGAGAGGAGAGUGGAAUUCCUAGUGUAGCGGUGAAAUGCGUAGAUAUUAGGAGGAACACCAGUUGCGAAGGCGGCUCUCUGGACCGUAACUGACACUGAGGCACGAAAGCGUGGGGAGCAAACAGGAUUAGAUACCCUGGUAGUCCACGCCGUAAACGAUGAGUACUAGCUGUCGGAGGUUACCCCCUUCGGUGGCGCAGCUAACGCAUUAAGUACUCCGCCUGGGAAGUACGCUCGCAAGAGUG